UACGAAGGGGGCUAGCGCUGUUCGGAAUUACUGGGCGUAAAGGGCGCGUAGGCGGUGUGUCAAGUCAGGCGUGAAAGCCCCGGGCUCAACCUGGGAACCGCGCUUGAGACUGGCACGCUCGAGUUCGGGAGAGGAUGGUGGAAUUCCCAGUGUAGAGGUGAAAUUCGUAGAUAUUGGGAAGAACACCGAUGGCGAAGGCAGCCAUCUGGACCGACACUGACGCUGAGGCGCGAAAGCGUGGGGAGCAAACAGG
rnacentral:rRNA from 1 species